UUGGAGAGUUUGAUCCUGGCUCAGGACGAACGCUGGCGGCGUGCUUAACACAUGCAAGUCGAACGGAAAGGCCCUGCUUUUGUGGGGUGCUCGAGUGGCGAACGGGUGAGUAACACGUGAGUAACCUGCCCUUGACUUUGGGAUAACUUCAGGAAACUGGGGCUAAUACCGGAUAGGAGCUCCUGCUGCAUGGUGGGGGUUGGAAAGUUUCGGCGGUUGGGGAUGGACUCGCGGCUUAUCAGCUUGUUGGUGGGGUAGUGGCUUACCAAGGCUUUGACGGGUAGCCGGCCUGAGAGGGUGACCGGCCACAUUGGGACUGAGAUACGGCCCAGACUCCUACGGGAGGCAGCAGUGGGGAAUAUUGCACAAUGGGCGGAAGCCUGAUGCAGCAACGCCGCGUGCGGGAUGACGGCCUUCGGGUUGUAAACCGCUUUCGCCUGUGACGAAGCGUGAGUGACGGUAAUGGGUAAAGAAGCACCGGCUAACUACGUGCCAGCAGCCGCGGUGAUACGUAGGGUGCGAGCGUUGUCCGGAUUUAUUGGGCGUAAAGGGCUCGUAGGUGGUUGAUCGCGUCGGAAGUGUAAUCUUGGGGCUUAACCCUGAGCGUGCUUUCGAUACGGGUUGACUUGAGGAAGGUAGGGGAGAAUGGAAUUCCUGGUGGAGCGGUGGAAUGCGCAGAUAUCAGGAGGAACACCAGUGGCGAAGGCGGUUCUCUGGGCCUUUCCUGACGCUGAGGAGCGAAAGCGUGGGGAGCGAACAGGCUUAGAUACCCUGGUAGUCCACGCUGUAAACGGUGGGUACUAGGUGUGGGGUCCAUUCCACGGGUUCCGUGCCGUAGCUAACGCUUUAAGUACCCCGCCUGGGGAGUACGGCCGCAAGGCUAAAACUCAAAGGAAUUGACGGGGCCCCGCACAAGCGGCGGAGCAUGCGGAUUAAUUCGAUGCAACGCGUAGAACCUUACCUGGGUUUGACAUGGAUCGGGAGCGCUCAGAGAUGGGUGUGCCUCUUUUGGGGUCGGUUCACAGGUGGUGCAUGGCUGUCGUCAGCUCGUGUCGUGAGAUGUUGGGUUAAGUCCCGCAACGAGCGCAACCCUUGUUCACUGUUGCCAGCACGUUAUGGUGGGGACUCAGUGGAGACCGCCGGGGUCAACUCGGAGGAAGGUGGGGAUGACGUCAAGUCAUCAUGCCCCUCAUGUCCAGGGCUUCACGCAUGCUACAAUGGCUGGUACAGAGAGUGGCGAGCCUGUGAGGGUGAGCGAAUCUCGGAAAGCCGGUCUCAGUUCGGAUUGGGGUCUGCAACUCGACCUCAUGAAGUCGGAGUCGCUAGUAAUCGCAGAUCAGCAACGCUGCGGUGAAUACGUUCCCGGGGCUUGUACACACCGCCCGUCAAGUCAUGAAAGUUGGUAACACCCGAAGCCGGUGGCCUAACCGUUGUGGGGGAGCCGUCGAAGGUGGGACUGGUGAUUAGGACUAAGUCGUAACAAGGUAGCCGUACCGGAAGGUGCGGCUGGAUCACCUCCUUUCUAAGGAG
rnacentral:rRNA from 1 species